CGGGCCCAGAUGGAUAAUCCAGGAUAAUCUCUCAAUCUCAAGCUGUCUUCAUGCUUAUUCUCCCGAGCAUCCUUUCAAGCUAAGAAGAGCCCAGCUAGACAGCUUCCUGACUGGCCUCACAGGGCAUAUUGGAAAGGAGUGUAUCGGCAAUAAAGACUGCUGAGACAUGCCAAACUGCCUGGAAAAAGCAUGAGUUCAGAAGCCUGGAAGAAGCAAAGACCAGCCAAGCAGCUUAGAAGAAACAAGAACCAGCCUAGCUGCCAGGAAGAGGCUCACACAAUGGAGGCAUGCAGAACUAACACCCUCUGACCUAUUGAGCUGCCUGCAGGCUGUGCAGUGGGCCCCAGGUUCCCAGUUUUUGUGAGCUGUCAACCAUGGGGGCUGUGG
rnacentral:lncRNA from 1 species